CAGUAGUGUAUGCUUCUCCUAAAGACUAAGCCAUGCAUGCCUCCGAAUAGAAGAGCAAGUCUCUCUGAAUCUGCGAACGGCUCCGCAUACCAGUUGUAAACCAUAGCAAGCUAACUGUACCCCCGCCGCAAGGUGGGCUGGUACGGUUUAUAAGGAUAUCCGUGGUAAUCCUGAGGCUAAUACAAGAACGUAAACCCGGCCUGACCCGCAAGGGGAUAGUCGGCGAUCGUGCAAGCUGAAACACGAUGUACACAAGGAAUAGCGGCAUGAUCAGACCACCAAAAAAAGACAGUCUCGCGCAAACUCGGCUUCGGUUGAGCAAGUGUGGGUCUGGGUGGCUCUUGCUUCGUGCUUCUGACCUAUCAACUAGAUGGCAGCGUAAGGGACAUGCUAUGGUCACAACGGGUACAGAGGAUAAGGGUUCGAUCCUGGAGAGUGGGCCUGAGAGAUUGCUCACACUUCUAAGGAAGGCAGCAGGCGCGCAACGUUCCCAUUGGGCAAAGCUCGAGGGCGUUAGGGGACAUAUGAAUGCCUGCCUUCGGGUGGGCAAUUCAAAUGGGACCGUUUUAAACAUCCCA
rnacentral:rRNA from 1 species